rnacentral:rRNA from 1 species
AUACGGAGGAUGCAAGCGUUAUCCGGAUUUAUUAGGUUUAAAGGGUGUGUAGGCGGUAUUUUAAGUCAGUGGUGAAAUCUCGGAGCUUAACUUCGAAACUGCCAUUGAUACUGAAAUACUUGAGUAUAGUUGAGGUAGGCGGAAUAUGUAAUGUAGCGGUGAAAUGCAUAGAUAUUACAUAGAACACCGAUUGCGAAGGCAGCUUACUAAACUAUUACUGACGCUGAUGCACGAAAGCGUGGGGAGCGAACAGGAUUAGAAACCCUAGUAGUCC